rnacentral:rRNA from 1 species
AACGAACGCUGGCGGCAGGCCUAACACAUGCAAGUCGAGCGAGGACUUCGGUUCUAGCGGCGGACGGGUGAGUAACGCGUGGGAAUGUGCCCUUCUCUACGGAAUAGCCCUGGGAAACUGGGAGUAAUACCGUAUACGCCCUAUUGGGGAAAGAUUUAUCGGAGAAGGAUCAGCCCGCGUUGGAUUAGGUAGUUGGUGGGGUAAUGGCCUACCAAGCCGACGAUCCAUAGGUGGUUUGAGAGGAUGAUCAGCCACACUGGGGCUGAGACACGGCCCAGACUCCUACGGGAGGCAGCAGUGGGGAAUCUUAGACAAUGGGGGCAACCCUGAUCUAGCCAUGCCGCGUGAGUGAUGAAGGCCUUAGGGUUGUAAAGCUCUUUCAGCUGGGAAGAUAAUGACGGUACCAGCAGAAGAAGCCCCGGCUAACUCCGUG